UACCAGCACCCCGAGUGGUCGGGACGUUUAUUGGGCCUAAAGCAUCCGUAGCCGGUUCUGCAAGUCUUCCGUUAAAUCCACCUGCUUAACAGAUGGGCUGCGGAAGAUACUAUAGAGCUAGGAGGCGGGAGAGGCAAGCGGUACUCGAUGGGUAGGGGUAAAAUCCGUUGAUUCAUUGAAGACCACCAGUGGCGAAGGCGGCUUGCCAGAACGCGCUCGACGGUGAGGGAUGAAAGCUGGGGGAGCAAACCGG
rnacentral:rRNA from 1 species